rnacentral:piRNA from 1 species
UGAAGCAGUGUAAAAGCCGGACUUC